rnacentral:rRNA from 1 species
UCGAGGGGCAGCGAGUAUUUAGUUUACUAAAUAUGUCGGCGACCGGCGCAAGGGUGCGUAACGCGUGAGCAACAUGCCUAUUACAGGAGGAUAAACCAUGGAAACGUGGCCUAAUACUCCAUAGCAAUAUUUAUCGGCAUCGAUAGAUAUUUAAAGCGCUACAGUGGUAAUAGAUUGGCUCGCGUAACAUUAGCUAGAUGGUAAGGUAACGGCUUACCAUGGCAACGAUGUUUAGGGGUUCUGAGAGGAAGGUCCCCCACACUGGUACUGAGACACGGACCAGACUCCUACGGGAGGCAGCAGUGAGGAAUAUUGGACAAUGGAUGGAAAUCUGAUCCAGCCAUGCCGCGUGUAGGUAACGGCCCUAUGGGUCUUCAACUACUUUUGUAUGGGAGCAAUAAGAUCUACGUGUAGGUUGAUGAGAGUACCAUACGAAUAAGCAUCGGCUAACUCCGUGCCAGCAGCCGCGGUAAUACGGAGGAUGCAAGCGUUAUCCGGAUUUAUUGGGUUUAAAGGGUGCGUAGGCUGUUUAAUAAGUCAGUGGUGAAAUACUAAUGCUCAACAUUGGGGCUGCCAUUGAAACUAUUAGGCUAGAAUGUGAACGCUGAUUGCGGAAUGUGUAGUGUAGCGGUGAAAUGCAUAGAUAUUACACAGAACACCAAUUG